rnacentral:lncRNA from 7 species
AAUUAGUCAGUGGGGCACCAGGUGUUCCAAAGGAGCUGCAUAAAAGACGAUGUGGAGGGCAUGUAGCUGGUUUGCUGGGAUUGGAGACUGGCCUUGGAGCAGGAGCUUGCAUCUUCAGUGAGGAGUCAGCACUUGGCCUGGUGUGGUUGGAAGCGCUCUCAGCAGGGAGUGCUGGGAGGCGUGCCAGAAGAAUCAUGGCAAUGCUCAGUGUCUAUGGCGAGGGUCCCAGGAUAGAAAGCAGGAAGGGUAAUGCAGAGGAUGGGAUGCUGGAGGUGAAAGGUCUGAGCACAGCUCUGCCUUCAGCACAGCACCCACGCAGCUCCUGGAGCAAUGCACAAAGCCUGGCAGCCUGACACAGCAAGAAGCGUAGGGGUGAAGAAGGGCAGGGAGAGUUUAGACCCUUCAUGGAUGGAAGAGGCUGUUGUUGUUGCCUCUCAGGCUGGAGCCUGUCCAGAGGGCUGUAUGCAUUCGGGUAAAACUGAUGUGACAGCUGCUGGUUUCUAGACAAGGACCGCUCUGUCCAGAUCUAAUAAGAAAAGCAAUAUAGAGUGUGAAACCAAUAUCAUUUCAGCCUAUGAACGAGCCACCCAGCCUCUCUAAGCCUGAAGGAUAAAUGUAUAAAACCCUCCCAGCUGCCUACAGCGCUGUACCCACGCUCCAUGAUGGACAUGAUUAUUUAUUGUUUGUCUGCACUCAGAGGCUCCCACAGAGACCUGGGCCCUGUUGCAGGGAGAGGCACUGUCAGGAAAACCUUGCAGCUGAAUGCCACAGCCAUGAGAAAUGGCAACGCAUCUUUCUGGAUGGGGUCAGUGCUAUCUGCAGGCCCUCGUAUUCCCCUCAGGACAGUCAAAGGCAAAGCUGCUAAACCCCUAUCCCUGUGCAUGCAACACUGGCAGAUUUCCCAAAGGGUGGUUUUAAUUUGCACUCUCCCUCAGCAGUGCCCUCUGUAAUUGUCACCCUUGGAACGUCAGGCUUUUCCCUGCGACGUAACAGAUUUAGCAGCAGGAGACUGAAGGGGAGUCCUCGUACUACCGAGACUCGAACAAAUUAUACUACAGAACAUUAACUGGUGCUCCAUAAAGUGUUAUCAUAAUUAAUUACGACUAAACUGCAGUUGUCAAAUAAAUGAACAAAGUACAUU